rnacentral:lncRNA from 1 species
CACCCUGUUACAUGUUGGGUCUCUGAUGUGUUAUUAUUGUAGCGUGUCAUAUAGCACUGGAUAAUAUUGACGAUUAACUAAAUAAAUAAUUUAGGGAAGAGUGCUCACUUCCCAUCAUCAUAGCUAAUCUGCUACCCAAGGUUUAUAUGUGUUUAUAAUGCAUGUAUAUUACUAGUGUAUUUACUUUAUAAUUUGUAAUCACAGAAUGGAUGACCUCAGUCAGUUCCUGAGAGAAAGAAAGGUUCCUGAGGAAACAAUAUGGACAAUGGAGCAGGAAAAGGUACUUAAAUUUAACACAAGAACAUUUGUUGAUCUAUUAAAGAAAUUAACUCAAUGGUUUAUUGUGCCAUCAGGAAAUUCUAAAUAAAUGUUAGUAUCUCAAAUUGUCAUCAGCAGUGAAUAGGUUGUUUAACUAAAAUAACACUCCCAUAACAAUUUCUCUCUUAUUUAGAUUGAUAGAAGCACUAUAGUGUUGAUGACCGAUGAGCAGCUGAAGACUUAUUUACCAUCAUAUGGUGAUCGUCUAGCAGUAAUGGGAUUUUGUAGGCGAAGUGAAGGUAACCACAAUGAAACUCGGAAAUCAAGGCUUUUUGAUCGGCUGAGAAACAGAUUAUCCAGAAGAAAACUUUCCAAUGAUGGAGAUCAGAAUACAGAGCACAGUGGUCAACCCUCUCAAAAAAGGAAUGCUCUGAAGACCAUGAGAAAAGUAGAAAUAGGAUGGAUGACCUAUGAUAACGAAAAUCAAAAUUUUAGGCAGGUGAGGACAAAGCGUGGAGGUGGAACAAGAAAAGUUGAAGUUUCAAAGGAAGCACAGAAGAAAGAUUUGAUAGAGCAAGCGGUCAAUCUCUUCUUUCCAGAUGGGAAAAGUCUUCUGGGGCCCAUAACAGAUUUUGAGCUUGAUCUCAAGGAUUACCAAGAGUUGACAUUUGAUGGCAUAACCACAGUUGGACAACUGUACAGUGACACAAAACUCUCUCUUCUGCGGUUUUACCUGACCACAAAGCAAAAAAGAAGUGACACUCCAAACAGUCAGAGCACAGAUUUGGCUCCUGCUUUGGAGAAACCAGAAAGCUCUCAGAAUUCCUCUUCUGCUUCUUCUUUUUAUGUUGCUUCAGCCUCAUCAGCAAGUGUUGAAACAGUCAGCUCAGAAGUGAUAUUUUUUGCAAGCACUGUCAAUGAUGGGGGUUUUUCACUGUAUUCGACUGAGGAUGUGAGCAGUGUCAUUGAAGAUGUUUCAGAGGAGAGCAACAUUGUUUUUAUGGGAGACCUCUCUGAACAUGAGCAUCAGAAUCUGGAUGAGACACUGCCUGUUUCACUACAAAAUAUGCCAUCCAGUGAGAGAACAAAGAGAAUAUUGGUUGUCCACAGAGGACAGGUUCUGCCAGAGCUCAUACAACAUUUCUGUGAAGAUGUAAUUCAAGAUGUUGAUGUCAGAAUCCAGCUUGUACUUCCAAAUGGAGCACUUGAGAAGGCAUAUGAUGAUGGGGGAGUUGUGAGAGAUUGUCUCUCAGAAUUCUGGAAUGAGUUCUAUGACCAAUGUACUAUGGGAAAUAUAUUUAGAGUUCCUUUCCUUCGUCGUGAUUAUGGACAGCAGCACUGGGAGAGUGUAGGGCGAAUAAUUGAAUAUGGAUGGGCAAGGGAGAAGUAUCUUCCUGUGAAGAUUGCACCAGUUGUGUUAGAACAGGCUGCCUUUGGAUGUGUGAAGAGUGAUGUAGUGGAUAAUUUCCUCAAAUACGUGUCUGAAUCAGAGCGUGCAGUGUUGGAAUCAUGGCGAUCAGAUUUUAACAGCACUGACCAAGAAGAAUUGAUUGAGAUCUUGGAUAACCACAGCUGCAGGAGAGCACCAACAGCGAGCAAUGUAAACGAAAUCCUCCAAGAACUUGCACACAAAACACUAAUCCAGGAACCUGCCUACGUAAUAAAACAGUGGGCAAAAAUUCUCAGUCCAGUUCGGCAUAACUUUGAAGACCUCCUAACAGUAUAUGGCACCUUGCAGCCAACUGGGAGAAAGAUUUUGAAGUCACUUGCCUUCCCAGACACAAUGGAUGACCGCCAGAAAGAGAUUCAGAGGCACCUUACCAUCUACUUGAGGAAUGCUGAUCCCCAUCAUCUGUGCUUGUUCCUCCGAUUCUGCACAGGUUCUGAUCUGUUUCUGGGGAAGACGAUCACCAUUGAUUUCACACAAAUUCAAGGAUUCCAGAGGAGACCUGUGGCACACACAUGUGGUUGUGUACUGGAACUGUCAGAACAUUACGACAGCUACCCAGACUUCAGCUCUGAGAUGAAUAAAGUCUUGGAAUCUAAUGUAUGGGUGAUGGACAUUGUAUAAAAUAGUCCACAAAAUUACAGUGUUUUCUAUAAUACUGCCAUCAGUGUUUUUGUGGGGAGGGCAGUUUGUCCUUUAAGCUCAUGUGCUGUCAUUUUGUAUAAAUGAAAAAUGAAAAUAUCAUUACCAGAUAUUGAAGUAUUGAAAAUUUUCUGNNNNNNNNNNNNNNNNNNNNNNNNNNNNNNNNNNNNNNNNNNNNNNNNNNN